GGGUGCUGUCAGGGAAAACCCCUUGCCCAGACAUCUCUUUCAUUUACUGCCCAGGAAGAUAUGCCACAAAAUGACUGUGAACCUGCCAGCCGUGGGCAGGGCCUUGAAUGUGAACCAAGACUGGUGAGGCCAAAGCCAAUUGUCCGGUAACAGUCAAAGUAGGAGAAACAUAGAAGUUGCUAAAUCAAUUCCCAAGGUCUUGUCUGGGCUCUGGACUUUAGGACAAAGCCAGGAGAGAAAGGAGAUGGCUCAAACAGCCCAGCUCAUCUCAGACAUUUCUUCACUGUUCACCAACAGGGGAAGCAAAUGAUGCCCCCAAGAAGGAAUGGUCAUCUCAGCACAUCGCACCUGCUUUGCUUCCACAAACCCAAGAAAACAUUCGUGUGGUGCAGAGGACACCUGCCAGCAGCACAGGAGGAGGAAGAAGGCCCACCUGUCUUGCUCAGUAAAUAGAACAGAGCCUGGAAGAUGGCUGCUAUUGGAUGAAGAACACUGGCUGACCUCAGCUUCAGCCAUCCCGUCAGCUAAUAGCACUACCAAUGAGGAAAUGUAUCAGGGCCAUUUCCUCCCUGAGCCACACAAGAUCCAGGUCUGGGUUGUUCUCAGUUUCCCUUCUGUUCACCAGUCUUGAAGGGCCAGAAUUAGUAGCAGCCUACUUCGGGGAGUCUGUGGUACCCUUGAAGAGUGAGAAUUUGGACACCUCUCCAAUUAGUCUUAUGCAUUCCAGACACAAGAACAUGGAGUUUGAGUGACACCAUCUAUAGAAUGUUUGAACCACAUUUUGUUGAAUCUCCAUAUUGGCCUCCAAAGCAGCUCUAAGAAUUAUGAAAUAAUGAAUCUCAAAGUAAUGGUCCAAAUUAAACUCUACUUAUGUUUACAAAUUGUGACAAAAAUAGUAAAACAAUUUUAUACACAAUAAUGAAAUAAAUCUUCUGAAAUAUA